CGGGCCGAGGAUGGAGGGAGGCCCCCUGAGCUCGCUAGCUGGGGACUGCCUGGCGACUCACUGGCUUCGCAGGUCACGGCUGACGGCUGACGUAGCCGCCCAGAUGGCCUCCAGGCUGACCUCGCUGACCCUCCUCCUGCUGCUGCUGGCUGGGGAUAGAGCCUCCUCAGAUCCGAAUGCCACCAGCCACAGCACUGAGGACCCAGAAAGCACUCAUGGGAAAAGCAAAGCCAUCUUUCUGGAGGGAAAUGCCACCAGAAAUCUACUCACUGAGCACAUGGUGAAAUCUUCCACCUGGCCAACAACUGACGAAGCCACCAAAGUAACAUCUAAUAUCACUGAUCAACCUAAACCUGCUGCCCAGCCCUCCACCCAGCACACCCAAACAACUUCCAAAUACCUCACGAAUUUUCUCACACAGUCCUCUGCAAACUCUUCUACUCAGUCCCCCACGGAAUCUGCCACCCAGGCCCCUUCCGAGCCCACCUGCCCAGAGCCCCUCACUCACUGCUUUGAAUCAGACAGGGACUCUGCAGAAACCACCCUGGGGGAGGCUUUGACAGAUUUCUCCCUGAAGCUCUUCCAUGCCUUCUCAGCCACCAAGAAGGUGGAGACCAACAUGGCCUUCUCCCCAUUCAGCAUCUUCAGCCUCCUCACGCAGGUUCUGCUUGGGGCUGGAGACAGCACCAAGAGCAACUUAGAAAGCAUCCUCUCAUUCCCCAAGGACUUUACCUGUGUCCACCAGGCACUGAAGGCCUUCACGUCCAAAGGCUUCACCUCUGUCUCUCAGAUCUUCCACAGUCCAGAUCUAGCCAUAAGGGACACCUUUGUGAAUGCCUCUCAGAACCUGUAUGGCAGCAGCCCCAGAGCCCUGGGCACAGACAGUGAUACCAACUUGAAGCUCAUCAACACCUGGGUGGCUGAGAAAACCAACCACAGGAUCAGUCAGCUUCUAGACAGCCUGCCCUCCAACACCCGCCUGGUCCUUCUCAAUGCUGUGUACCUGAGUGCCAAGUGGAAGAAUACAUUUGAUCAAAAGAAAAAGAUGGAGUCUUUCCACUUCAAAAACUCUGUGAUUCAAGUACCCAUGCUGCAUAGCAAGAAGUAUCCUAUGGCCCACUUCAAUGACCCAACUUUGAAGGCCAAGGUGGGGCAACUGCAGCUUUCCCACAACCUGAGCUUCGUCAUCAUGGUGCCGCAGAGCCUGAAGCACCGACUUGAAGACAUGGAGCAGGCUCUCAACCCCACUGUCUUCAAGGCCAUCAUGAAGAAGCUGGAACGGUCCAAGUUCCAGCCCACUUACGUGAUGAUGCCCCGCAUCAAAGUGACGAGCAACCAAGACAUGCUGUCCAUCAUGGAGAAGCUAGAGGAUGACACUGAAAGUCCCAAGCUUCUAAUCAUGGCUUAAUCUUUCUGGUGACCAAACCCCAUUCAGGAGCCCACUGAGAGCCUCUUCAUUAGAACAAAAGAUGUUCCUGUCACCCAGGAAGUUCCAAGAGAUUUGGGGAUAUUCACUGUUAUUAGGAACCAGGGUCGGAAACUAAAUGCUAGACCAAAAGCUGCUCUGUUGCUUUGGAAAUUGCAAGGAUUUUAAGAAGACGGAUCAAAGACUAAAAGACUAUUAGAAUAAUAUUUAGUCUAGAAUCUCUACUGCUAGGGACAUUAUAACGGUUUUAAGAGAUCUUUGUCAAUAAUUUGUGGUAGACCCCAGCAUGGUGGCAUAUGACUUUAAUCCCAGCACUUGGGAGGCAGAGGUAGGAGGAUUGCUGUGAGUUCGAGGCCACCCUGAGGCUACAUAAAUUCUUCGACUUUACUUAUGACCUCAACCUGUGUGGACUGACUGAGGACCCGGACCUCCAAGUGUCUGCCAUGCAGCACCAGACCUUGCUGGAGCUGACAGAGAUGGGCGUGGAGGCGGCUGCGGCUUCUGCCAUCUCUC